rnacentral:lncRNA from 1 species
UUUUUAAACCCUAAAUAUGAGCUUUAAACUUCAGUCUUUUCAUAAUAUAACUCUAAAUCUUAAAACCGCAACCUAAAUGCAAUACUCUAAACCCCAAAUUCCAACGGUAUAUACAAAGUCAUGAAUAUAAUCUCUACAGAUAAUAUUAUUAGGUUAUUACUAAACUAAACCCUAUUCCUUAUAUAAACUAUAACUUUAUUUGUUUUAUUUUCAAAUAUCUAUCUUAACCACUAUUAUAUUAUCACAAACCUUAAACCACAUACUUUAAACUUAACUACAACUAUAUAAACUAAUAGUCAAUAAUGGUAGUAUUAAUUAGAAGAUUUUAAAAUUUAAGUCGUAAUUUAGUCUUUUUAAUUUUAAUCUAUAAAUUCCAAAACAUAAAUCUUAAACUAAAUUAGAAAUAACAAAACAUAAUUUUUUUAAAAAUAUUAAACUUUAAAUCCUAAACUAUAAGCAGAAACCUUUAAUCUAAAAUCUAUACUUUAAAUGUAAACUAUAAACCUUAAACCCCAAAACUUAAUCCCAAACCCCAAAACUUAAUCCCAAACCUUAUUCUCCAAACUCUAAAUAUACUUCAAACUUAAAACUUUAGAUAUAAACUUUAAACUUUAUAUCAUAAAUCUAAACUUUGAAUCUAAACUAUAUUUUUGGAAACUUAACUAUGAACUUUAGUAUUAAACCCCAAAUCCUAUCCCCUGACCCCCAAACUCUACUCCCAAAACCCAAACCAUAUUCCCAAAAAUUCAACAAACAUCAAAUCUAAAUCUUAAUAACAAACCUUUAUAUACAACUCUAACCCUUAUACUUUCAAAACUCUAAAUCCCUAAAUCAUAAAGAAUUAUAAUAGAAAGUUUAAAUUUAAAUUCAAGUAUAUAUAUAUAUAUAUAUAUUAUUUUUUUUUGUCACAGAUUCAAGUAUAUUCUAAGACUCAAAUUAUAUACUUAUUCAGAAUAUAACCAUCAAAAACUUGUAAUUAUUCAACAUGUCUAAGCUUUUAUUUAGAAUCUCGAAAUUUAAAUUGCAAUUUUUAUUACUUUCUAUAGAUUAUGCACUUUAAUAAUAAAACUAAACAACAUGAUAAUCAAAACACAAAAGAAACACUAAAAGUAAGUGUCAAUCCGUAAACUUCUUUCUCAUUGGUUGAGAAGGGCAGAGAUUACCGGUUAUUAUAUCACAGCCGUCUAUCUCACCUCCUUUUACAUUAUUCUUCUUCUUUUUAAUAGCAAUCCUAGUGAUUCUUUUCUAUUGGCUUAUACAAGAAAGUGGGGAUAACUUCUUUUUGUAAUCUUAACCGUUGAUGAAUUUAAUCUAAGGGACAUAAACAUUUGCUUCUUUUUUUUAAUGGGUUUUCUCUCUCUCGAUCUCUGCUCCUCUCAUCUUCUACCGUAAACCUGAAAGAAAAAUCUCUACUCUAAUCAAGAAACCACCUCUGAAUCGUCGAGUUUG